UCGAACACGUAGAACGGGAGCAGUAAGACACGGAAGCCGAUCAGAGAGCUGCGGGGUGGUGCGACGCAGCGGCGGAACGUCUGAACUCGCCCGGGAGUGGAGCGGCUGAACCGGCUGAACAUGUCCGUAAGGAUGUCCGCCGGCAGUAGGCAGCUACGGUACCUGACCGUUAUCAGGCCGAGGGGGAGGAUCUUGCGGAUUGCGGAUGAUCUUCCAACGAGAGUGGUACCGCGGCAGAGCAGAGCUUGUCGUCUCUUAA
rnacentral:ncRNA from 1 species